AGGGCUGGGGCUGAGACGAUAGAGCGCAUGCCUAGAAUGCAUGAGACCCUAGGUAUAAUCCCAGCACCUCUG
rnacentral:tRNA from 1 species